UACGUAGGGGGCAAGCGUUGUCCGGAAUCAUUGGGCGUAAAGCGCGCGUAGGCGGCCCGGUAAGUCCGUUGUGAAAGUCAAAGGCUCAACCUUUGAACGCCGAUGGAUACUGCCGGGCUAGAGUCCGGAAGAGGCGAGUGGAAUUCCCGGUGUAGCGGUGAAAUGCGCAGAUAUCGGGAAGAACACCCGUGGCGAAGGCGGUUCUCUGGGACGGUACUGACGCUGAGACGCGAAAGCGUGGGGAGCGAACAGG
rnacentral:rRNA from 1 species